CCCAACUUUCCAGGGGCUCUCAAACUCGACGCUGACCAUCGACAUUUAACCCGUGCACACCAUUUGGUCGUACAUUUUCAAGUUGAAUUAACAUUGAAACAUUUUGCGUUAAAUUAUAUUAAAAUUGGCGUAAUCUAUAAAGCAAUAACGAGUUCUGAUAAGGUUGGGUUGUUUCGUUACAGUAAGAGCGAGGACAUUGGUUCGUUCGACACUUUUACGAAAUAUUAAAAAACAUAUACUUAAUGGGAAACUAUGAUUCCAAGAAGAAAAACACUGUUGGUCUUAACUUGUGGUACGAAAUGUCAUCUCUCUACGAGUCACGAAAUCGGAGGGCGAAUAGUUAUCGUCCAGGUUUCGCGAGAUUGUUCGGCUUAGUGAUGUCACCGGUCAGCCGAGUUUUAACGAGCCUAAAUAAAUCAUUAGGUUUUACGGGUUGAGGAGCACUGAGCCUAAGAUAGCCGCGACACAUGCUGGAAAUUUGUUCGGCGGGAAUUUACGAGCGAGUUUCCGUGUCAGACGCAAUACCGUGGGCUCCGCUGAACUUGAUGGGAAUUUAAUUAUUUCGAAAACCGGAUGUGGAAUCGCAGAUCGCGUAUGAUUUACUUUUAAUCAUUGGACUCGAAAAAUUGGACUCGGAUUCGCAGGAACACGUUUUCCAGCCACGAGGAAACAAGACACAAAUUUAAAUAACAAGACGACAACCUCAAGGUUUCGCCAAUAAAAAAUAUCUAGAAGAUCUGUAUGCCGCUUCAACUAAUUUCUCACCGAACAACGAGCCAGCGGGAUCGCGAUCGACGAGCUUAAUCGAUCGCAAAGCUGUCGCAUGAGCCGCGGUUUUCGCUGAAGCAACGACGGGAAAAGUGCGCGUACAGGUGGGCAAUCGUGGGCCAGAGAGGUGUAUUUUUUUGUUGUUCCCGCGAGGCGACCAUUCCACGGGCCCAUCUGCUGCCAUCUCAAUCAGAACCGGACCGUUUCUAACGAAGUACCAUUCGCUGAUCCGGAGAUACGUUCAGCGAAAAGAAGAGCGUGGAGGGAAGGCGACGAACAGCCGUUGGAACGAGGCGAGGAGCCAUUGAUCCUGGCGGGUUGGGACACGGCUGAAAUCGUGUCCGGGCAGCAGUUCGAAGACUUGGACAUCGGUCCCUUGACGUCUCAAGCGGGAGGGUCUCGCAUCGGGCGAGAUAACGAAAUUAGCCCGGUCGCUAAUUUAUUUCCUAAUUCUCGCGGGAGCGGAGGUGUGAAACAGCCGUUCUGGACCGUGGUAUCCACGAUAACGGGCCAGGAUGUGGAAUAAAAAGGAGGUGGAAGGGUUUCUCUCGUAGGAAGGCGAUCCGGUGGUAAGAGAGGGAAAGACGAGACGAGGACGGGAACACCGGGUCCCGAACGAUCCGGAGAGAGAGAGGAAUAAUGAAAGAGAGUGAAGAGAAGAUAAUGCGAAGGCAGGAAUGCACGCCCACGUUCGCACCGUGUUUUCCUACGUCGGUGUGUCGGUGGUCACCACGUGAGAACACGCCUGGCGAGCAUAUGUGGAAUGCACAGUUGUUGCAUACUUCGCGUACCAUAGUUAUGGAUGCGCGAAUGCAUCGAUCCCCGGCCGUGGCAUUGACUUCACAGCCGCAACGGCGAUCCUCCGGCCGGCCGAUCGGCGAUUCGAAGAUUGCGCGAAAAUUAAUACCGUCUCCGCGGAUCACCGGCUGGAUCAAAUUAUACGAUUUUCGUUCGCAACGCGCGAGGUGUUGCGCCGUGAAUGACCCUUAACCUGAUCGCAACCACGUGUUACCUUGCCUAGGAGCAAACGUUACAAUUUGCCACUCGAACCGUUUUUAUUGGAACGGGGAAUAAGCGUUUCACGAGAUUACGCGUAAAUUCCGGAAUAGUUAUUUGUGUCGCUAGACGGGCGACGUUCGUAGGGUCACAAAUUUGGGUUGGAUGGUUCGAGAGUCACCUGCCCACCAAUUUGACGUCGAUACCGUGAACGACGUUCGUUGUAAGGGCUCUCCGCGCAUCCCUCAGGACAUGUUGGAUGUCGAGGAUCACGAGGAAGUCGUAAUUUCUACGAGAACGAGGCAAGCCGAAUGAAUUGACGAUGGCUUAUCCCCCUGCACGGCUACAAAAUCGUUUCGUACGCGUAUCAGACAAGAUAACGACGCCGGCGGGGCGUAUCGAUAAAUUCCGUUAAUUAAUUAUUGACGUGUCCCGGGGCUAUUUUCGCGUCCGCCGCAUGCGAAGGCAGACGGGUCCUUUUCUUCCUAUCUUUCUUCUUUUAUUCGAUUCUCAUUCGAACCGAAUCGUGUUUUUCUCCUCGGUGGGCGGCGCGAAUAAUUCGAUAUGGUGAUCUUUUAUCUAUUUCGGUCCACAUUUAUACGCGCGAAUCGACCUACUUUAAGCCAUCCCCAGAUACAAUCAAAAUUAUUCCAGGAAGGAUAUUUUUACAAUCUAUAUCGAGUGGAUUCUUUUACAACUGGCGUACUUUAACUUUAACCGCAAUCGUAAUCGUAGCGGCAAUUCCAACACCCUAUUUUUGUGCUAAUUGGGAAAGUACCUGUAACUUGUAUUCCUUUCAAUUUUUUUUUUUUUUUUUUUUUUUUUUUAAAUUAAUUUCCUAAUUUACUUUACAGACUCGCGGUCCUGAUGCCAUUAUUGAAACUCAAUAACCGAAACUAUAAUUCAUCGAGGACUCCCUCGGUCCGUCUAUCGCGUCUGUCGUGUAA